UGUGUGCUUGUGUGUGUGUUUGUAUCUGUGUGUGUGUAAAGUAUGUGUCUGUGUAUAUAUGGUAUAUGUAUGGUAUAUGAGUACAUAUGUGGUAUGUGUGUGUAUGGUAUAUGUGUGUAGUAUAUUGUGGGGCAGUGGACUGUGCCAGGACACUUGGUAAGGUUGAGUGGGUUCAGAAACCCUGGAACCCUCAGGCCUGAGGAUGGUAGGUAGUUCACAUAUUCCUGACUAGGUCUCUGUCACAUGACCACAGCACCCCAUGGAGAGGACCAUGACAAUCAGUCACAUAGGGAUAAGACCGGAAGCCGCUCCACAUGCAGAUGGGGCAUCCCUAACAUCUAAGAUCAAGCCAAUAGAAAGCAUUUGUUCUUAGACCCCAACCCACCCCAAAAUAUAUAUAAGACCCCGUGAUGGUUUGUAUAUUCUUGGACCAGGGAGUGGCACCAUUUGGAGGUGUGGCCUUGUUGGAAUAGGUGUGACCUGGUUGGAAUAGGUGUGUCACUGUGGGUGUGGGCUUAAGACCCUCAUCCUAGUUGCCUGGAAGUCAGUCUUCCACUAGCAGCCUUUGGAUAAAGACGUAGAACUCUCAGCUCUGCCUGCGCCAUGCCUGCCUGGAUACUGCCAUGCUCCCACCUUGAUGAUAAGGGACUGAACCUCUGAACCUGUAUGCCAG
rnacentral:lncRNA from 1 species